rnacentral:rRNA from 1 species
UACGGGGGGGGCAAGGGUUGUUCGGAAUUACUGGGCGUAAAGGGCUCGUAGGCGGCCAACUAAGUCGGAUGUGAAAUCCCCAGGCUUAACCUGGGAAUUGCAUCCGAUACUGGAUGGCUUGAAUCCGGGAGAGGGAUGCGGAAUUCCAGGUGUAGCGGUGAAAUGCGUAGAUAUCUGGAGGAACACCGGUGGCGAAGGCGGCAUCCUGGACCGGCAUUGACGCUGAGGAGCGAAAGCCAGGGGAGCAAACGGG